rnacentral:rRNA from 1 species
UACGGAAGGCAGCAGUGGGGAAUAUUGCACAAUGGGCGAAAGCCUGAUGCAGCUAUGCCGCGUGUAUGAAGAAGGCCUUAGGGUUGUAAAGUACUUUCAUCGGGGAGGAAAAAAACAAAACUAAUAAUUUUAUUUCUUGACGUUACCCGAAAAAGAAGCACCGGCUAACUCCGUGCCAGCAGCCGCGGUAAUACGGAGGGUGCUAGCGUUAAUCAGAAUUACUGGGCGUAAAGAGCACGUAGGUGGUUUUUUUAAAGUCAGAUGUGAAAUCCCUGGGCUUAACCUAGGAACUGCAUUUUGAAACUGAAAUACUAGAGUAUCGUAGAGGGAGGUAGAAUUCUAGGUGUAGCGGUGAAAUGCGUAGAUAUCUGGAGGAAUGCCUGUGGCGAAAGCGGCCUCCUAAACGAAUACUGACACUGAGGUGCGAAACGCGUGGGGAGCAAACAGGAUUAGAUACC